AUUUAGGGUUCGUUUUGUUUAGUGUUUUCUUGUCUGAAUCGGAUUCCUGUUGCUUGAUUGGGUAGGUCUGAAAUGUAUAGAAAGGACUAUUGAUAUUGUAGGAGGAACUGCAAUGGUAGAGGGCAAAUAUAAACCUAGGAAGGAGUAAGAAUCGAAGAGGAUAAGUGGUUUUCGAGAUAGAGAUGACAAAAGGGAGAGGAAUUGGGAGGAGGCAUUAGAGGGGGGAAGAUAGAAAUACGAGAGAUUGUGAUAGUUGUUACGUGAGAGACAAGUUUUGUGAUUGUUCUGAGGACGAGAGGUACGAUGUAGAGAAGCGGCAUUGAGGAGAUAGGGAGAGAGAUAGUCAUAGGAGGACUAGAGAUAAGGAGAGGGAGAAGGUCAAAAGAGAAGGUUGCAGAGUGAUGAUGUAGACGAGGAUGAUGAUGCUAGGGAGAAUGAUAGGAAACGGUGUAAGAAAGAUCACAAGGAUAACGUAAAGAGAGAGCGGGAAAGGAGUAGCAGCAGGUCAGAUGGACAUAGGGAUGAUGGAGUUGAGAGGCUGAUCAUGAAGAGUGAUGAAGAUUAUUCAGUUAAGAAAGAGAGGAAACGAACAUGCGAGGUGGUGGAGGAGGAGUUAAGAGGAUCAACAGAGGAAUUGGAUGAGGAAAUGGAAAAGCGGAGGAAGAGAUCACUAGUCACGCAUUAUCACUUCCUGGUGGCGCUCAACAACACAGAUAUCAAGUUAUAUAAGUGAAGAACUCAAUUCCAACCAACUUUAGCGACGAACUAUCGACAUAAAUAAGCCUCCGGGAUUGAUCUCGUGCCCAAGCGUGGCAGCAGAAUAUAUCACGGGACUGAAACUUUUGCGUUUCAACAUUCAAGAAUCUUUUCGGGAAGCUGUUAACUGGCUUUAUGGAGACUGUCUUUAGAUAUCUCCACGAUUUUUUGCAAAAAC
rnacentral:sRNA from 1 species